rnacentral:rRNA from 1 species
CUUCGGCAGAUUUGGUCUGUUUCUAGUGGCGGACGGGUGAGUAACGCGUGGGUAACCUGCCUUAUACAGGGGGAUAACAACCAGAAAUGGUUGCUAAUACCGCAUAAGCGCACAGCAUCGCAUGAUGCAGUGUGAAAAACUCCGGUGGUAUAAGAUGGACCCGCGUUGGAUUAGCUAGUUGGUGAGGUAACGGCCCACCAAGGCGACGAUCCAUAGCCGACCUGAGAGGGUGACCGGCCACAUUGGGACUGAGACACGGCCCAAACUCC